rnacentral:miRNA from 1 species
UUUGUACCAGAUGCUUUAUUU